rnacentral:lncRNA from 10 species
GUGAGACAGUAUGAGACAGAGACUGAGAAACCACAAAGUAUUGUUUCUAAUUAAGUACUGGAGCAAUGUUUAAAAAUCAGUGUGAGAUGGGCAUGGUAGCUUACGCCUGUAAUCCCAGCACUUUGAGAGGCUGAAGAGGGUGGAUCAUGAGGUGAGGUCAAGAGAUCGAGACCAGCCUGGCCAACAUAGUAAAACCUCAUCUCUACUAAAAAUACAAAAAUUAGGCAUGGUGGUGCACGCCUGUAGUCCCAGCUACUUGGGAGGCUGAGGCAGAAGAAUCGCUUGAACCUGGGAGGUGGAGGUUGUGGUGAGGCGAGAUAGUGCCACUGCACUUCAGCUUGGGCAACAGAGUGAUACUCCAUCUCAAAAAA